UCAAACUUGGUCAUUUAGAGGAAGUAAAAGUCGUAACAAGGUUUCCGUAGGUGAACCUGCGGAAGGAUCAUUAUUGAAUAUGCUUGAUGGGUUGUCGCUGGCCUUUCGGGGCAUGUGCACGCCUGUCUUGACUUCUAUUCAUCCACCUGUGCACCCAUUGUAGUUCUUUUCAAUUUCUGAGGGUCGAGGAAGCGGCAUUCAACUCGGUGUCAAAACCGGAUUUGAGGACUGCCCUUUGGGGCUUUUCUCUAGAGUCGUGGAAUCGGGCCUUUGGUCUGAGAAAGGGGCUAUGUCUUUAUCAUAAACCAUGUAGUAUGUUGCCAGAAUGUAUUCAAUGGGCCUUCGUGCCUAUAUAAACCUUAUACAACUUUCAGCAACGGAUCUCUUGGCUCUCGCAUCGAUGAAGAACGCAGC
rnacentral:misc_RNA from 1 species